rnacentral:rRNA from 1 species
GCGGAGUUCUCUUAUAACAAAAAUUACCAAACCAGUUUGAAGAUGGCACCUUUCGAAGCUUUAUAUGGAAGGAGGUGCAGGACACCGUUGUCAUGGGACGAAGUUGGAGACCGUCAAUUCUUUGGACUAGAUUUGAUUAAGGAGUCUGAACGGAAAGUUAAGUUGAUUCGCGAUAGGCUCAAGGUAGCCCAGUCCAGGCAGAAGAGCUACGCAGAUUCUAAACGCAAGGAGACAGUUUACGAAACCGGAGACAGAUUUUACCUCCGAGUAUCCCCACUUCGAGGAGUUAAGCGCUUUGGAGUUAAGGGAAAGUUAGCACCGCGUUUCGUUGGACCGUAUAAGAUCUUGCAACAUAUGGGAGAAGUCGCUUAUAAGUUGGAAUUACCAGAGGGACUGUCAGGAGUUCAUGAUGUAUUCCAUGUGUCUCAGCUGAAGAAAUGUCAUGCCGAGAUGGCGGAGGUACCGCUAAGAGAUACAGUACCUCUU